rnacentral:misc_RNA from 1 species
GAUGAAGAACGCAGCGAAAUGCGAUAAGUAAUGUGAAUUGCAGAAUUCAGUGAAUCAUCGAAUCUUUGAACGCACCUUGCGCCCUUUGGCAUUCCGAAGGGCAUGCCUGUUUGAGUAUCAUGAACACCUCAACUCUUCAUGGUUUUCCAUGAUGAGCUUGGACUUUGGGGGUCUUGCUGGCCUGCGGUCGGCUCCUCUCAAAUGAAUCAGCUUACCAGUGUUUGGUGGGCAUCACAGGUGUGAUAACUAUCUGCGCUUGUGGUUCUCCACCAAGUAACCUUCAGCAGUGGAGGUUCACUGGAGCUCACAGACGUCUCUCCUCAGUGAGGACAGCCCUUUGAAUGUUUGAUCUCAAAUCAGGUAGGACUACCCGCUGAACUUAAGCAUAUCAAUAAGCGGAGGA